GUGACAUACGCAUAAUAUUUGAGAGGGGCCUCGUCCCGGAGUGCAAAAGUACAGAAUGCAGUCCGGCUCCGCCACUCAUUAAAAUGCAAGGGACUGUUUCUUUGUUCUCAAGUGUAGCUUUUCAAAAAAAUCUGCUGCACACCGAUUGGGAAACACGGCAGUAAGGAAUGAGUAGGGAGAAGGGAGGGGCCAGCAUGCUGGUCUCCUCCUACAUAGUGAGUCAGAUGCCUGCAGAUAUUGUAAGGCAUAAGAAAGCUCAUGCAGUGUGCAGGCCCUGACUUAGCAAGGAGGAGACCAGUAGGAGAAGGCAGCCGAAUCCUCUGAGCCUAAGGAGUAAGUGGGGCCAGCAGAGAGAAAUAAAUUGCAACCCAGCCCCAGGAAAAGAGCUGGCGACUCCUGAUAAGGAGGUGGAUAAUUAAUUGUUUGAAUUACCUACCACCAGGAGAAGACCUGGGCCUACUGCCAUACGGAGAAGAUACACAGAGAGAAAUUGCCACCCAACUUCAGGAAGCAAGAUAGAGCAAGGGCUGCCUCCUGCUCCAGCAAAAGCUUCCAAACCUUCUUAGGGCAUUUCUACAUGUACAGCACUGCAGUGAUGCAGCUGCAUCAUUAAAGCGGCACUGCUGAAGUGGGUGUGGUGAAGACACUCUGUGCCAGAGAAUAAAGUUUCCUAUCUGAGGGUUGUUUCCUGCUGGGAUUUCCAGACUAUAAAAACACCAUUUCUGUCCUCAGAUUUAGAAAGAGACAAGGAGAAGAUAGGCAGACCCCAAGGAAAGCAGGAAUCAAGCUGACAGGGCGCAGGAUCAGGAACUUGGGAGACUCAGGAACCACGCAGGUGAACAGGACAUCCAAGAAGAGGAACCAAGUUGGAUCAUCCAGCAGAAACAGGAUAAAACAGCCUGUGACCUUCAGCACAUUGCUUCCCAAAAGUCAGAGACACUUGGAAAGGAGAAGACGGAGGUCCUUGACCAUCCACCUGGGAGUCCUCCUGGUGACAUCAAGUACCCAUCUCAAGAUGUGGAAGUGAGUGUGGCUGUGUGUAUACAUGUGCAUGGGGAAGCCACAUGAGGAAGGCAUCAGAAAGAAAAGUUUCAACAGCUCUAAAUAUUGUCUCAAGACACUUGUUAAAGAGUGUUCUGUGUGUAAAAGUCCUGAGAGCCUUGAGAUUGUCAUUUGUCUUUUCUGGUAAACAAGAGUUGUUAAACUUCUCCUUAUCAAGAGUGUACUGUUAAAAUUUGUUUUAUAAUACGUUUGCUGGGGGCAUUGGUGGAGUGGGAGAGGGUUAGCGACCCCAUAGUAACUGAAGUCCGGGUAGGUAGUUUCUAAUUGACUCUGAGGUUGUGGCCCAGACAUUAGGUGGUAGUUUGGUUUCAGUGUUAAGGUACUUAACUAGAUUCAAAGCAUAGGUUUGUUUAAUUUGGUAAAAUGGUUUAAUUGGGAUUUUUAAAGCUCACAGGCAGCAAGCUUCUUAGAAUUUAUAUAAGGACUGAUUAUUUUUGGUAUUUGAUUAAUUCCAAUCUAUUGUGGAGACUAACUUGAAACUGGGUUUGUUUACUGUAAUUUGAUAAGUAAAAACAACAUUUAGUAUUAUGAAUAGUUUGGUUCUGGUGAUAUGUUUUCUUGAAUUUAUUUUAGUUUAAGAGUUUCAACAACAUUUAUAAGCCAGAAACCAAUAAUGAGUCACAUUCCUUUCAGUAGGCCACAUGGGACCAGAAGCUUUUAGGGUCUGGGAUGGCUACAACCCUGUCAGUCUGGAAGCCGUCUAGUUCCUUCUAAUGAGUCUGGUUCUCACAGAAUCGGUGCCUGAAGAGGAAGGAAAAGUUGACUUAUGUAUUUGUAAUGAUUUGGGGAAUCUUCUAUGUACUGCUUAUGAAUUCUCCAGUUUGAAAUUUGAACUGCCUGUAUCCUUAUAUCUUAUGGCUGUCUUUCAGAGUAUUCUUACAUCAUAACCCUUGUGCUGAGGAGGGAAGGGACAGACAUGUAUCUGGCUUUAAAUAGGAUGAUUGGUAAAAGUUAUAAGAACCUGAAUAGUUAUUUAGACCAUCACAGAAGAGUGGAGUAGCUGCAAUCUGGAUGGAACAAGCUCUACCCAGCUUGUCUAGAGAGCUAGUGUUUGGAGGAGUGGAUUUCCCCCAAAGCGUGACCCAAAAAAAGGUACUGAUACUAGCCUUUAAAACCAGAGAUUGGAUGGAUCAGAAAGUGAGACAAAGGAAGCCUGGGCAGGCGAGGAACAGAGGGCAUGAUUUCAUAGCAAAGGGACCAGCCAACAAAGAAGAAAACUGGCUGCACGGGAAAGAAAGACUCCAUGGUUGAGAGGAGAAAUUGUGUGCAGAAGGGGUGGGGAUCCUGGACUCCUUAGAGCAGUGGUUCUCAAACUUUUGUACUGGUGACCCCUUUCAUAUAAAAAAAUCUGAGUGUGACCCCUCCUUAUAAAUUAAACACUUUUUAAAUAUAUUUAAUGCCAUUAUAAAUGCUGGAGGCAAAGUGGGGCUUGGGGUGGAGGCUGACAGCUUGCGACCCCCCAUGUAAGAACCUUGUGACCCCCUGAAGGGUCCCUAGCCCCAGUUUGAGAACCCCUGCCUUAGAGGAUUCUGAUGUAAGCUCAAAGACUAUUCAAGAGUGCUAAGGAGACUGGGGCAGGGAGAUGCGUACAGCUGUUGUUUUUAUCUGAAUCAAUAUACUUCCUGUGCUAGCUAAUGUAAAGAGUGACUGGUUUGGAAGAACCCUAUGUGUCUAUUAUGUGGGCCACUAUCAAGUGUCCCUGAAGAGGUGAACUGUAAACCCCUAGUGCCCACAAGAUUAGAGCUCUGGGAAAGGGUGUGAUAAGCUAUUAGGGAAUUUGGGGGUUAGUGCUGGUCCUGGGGACCUAGGACAGCUGGGACCUGCGAUACCAUUUCCACAAAGGAGUAACAGGCAGAAAGCCUAUGCCUAGAAAGUGUGUUAGAGGGGCCAAGGAGGGAGACAGGGCUGUAGCCUACUCAGACCCAGGGAAGCUUAAGAGCACAUGGGCCCAGUGUGGUGGGACAGAAACACAGCAACCUGGUGAGUGUUCCGGUGAGGGAGCACUAGCAGGGUUUGAUUGUACAUUGAUUGACAGUACAUUGAUUAGCCUUAUUGGAACUGAAUUGUUUUUGAAUUAUUUGUCUGGAGUCUGUCCUUGGAAUCCAAAGACUGUUAGAGCAAGUAGUACUGCAGAAAGCAGAACAAGCACUAGCCACGGAGCUGCCAUUGUGCAAACAGGAAGUACCCAUUUCUUAGUGACAAAGAGAAUGAGAAACUGCUGUGGAUUUUCUCCAAAUUGCUUUAUUGAUUAUCUACAUUAUUUUUGAAUUUCAAUGGAAGGACAAGCCUCCCAGCUUGACUGACUAACUGUAUUUAAAUAGUGGUUUGCAGUUUUGUUUGUGAUGUGUCCUGAAUUGAAACAGACAAGUGUGUUCUGCGUUUUAAAGGCGUUUCCUACUUUUUAUAUUUUUGCCUUUGCCUUCAUGUGCAUGUCAACAAGCUUCAGAUUACAAUGAAAACCUGUGAGGUCCUUCAAGAGAGAAGCCAACUGUCUUAUUCAUGAAGCAGAGAGCCUGUAGAUGUACUGCUAGAGAGUCUACUUCAAGAAGUAGAGAAUGUUAGUUUUCUUGAAUCCCCUCCCCACCUAGUGAUAACACAUCCCCAACAUCACACAACAAAUUUAUAUAACUUGCUGACGGUGAUAUUAAAAUAGGGGUGAUCGUCUGGGUUGCUAAGUUAUCAUAAUACGGAGGUUGCACCUUUUGUAUUCUGACAUAUAGCUAAGAAAGUAGUGGGGUUUGACCCAGCAAACUGGGAGGGCUGGGACUCGGAAGUUACAGAACACUCUUAUUUGAAUUGGGAAGGAACGGAGAACCAGUGCCAUAACACAGACUGAGAUAACAUUACAUAUGGUUCAGUCUUGUUAAGUCAGGCAUUGUGUUAGGAAUGGUUUAAAGAGAAACCCAAAGUUCAGGCUUUGCAGAAGGACAAAGAGAAACUAAUUUUGCAGAACCUGAACAUUGGGCUUCUCUUUAAACCACUCCUGACGCUACGUGAAAGACUGAGGUUUGGAUCAGAUAAGGGAGUUAUUUGAGUCAGCUGAGCAAAUUGGCAAAUGUGACCCUCGUAAGAAGCGGGCACAAAUCCAAGAGCUUAUUGCCCUGGUUAGGAAUCCUAAGGCCUUUUGGAAAUAUUGCAAAAGCUGAUAGAGUUCACCUUGAAUUUGGUUUGAUACCCUUCCCCCCAAAGUGAGUGGAGAAUGAGAUAGUGUCAGGAAUUACUCAUUAUUAUAUAGAAGUGAUAAGAGCAGUAGGGCUUCUCCGUACAGAAAUUAACGUUAGAGAUGGCAUGCCCAAGACACUGUGAUGAGAGGUGUUGUAUCUGUGUUACUGCUGGAGGAGAUAACAACCCAGAUGAUCAUCCCUAUCUUAAUAAGUUAUAUUCGAAGAAGCUACCAGAUUUUGUGCGACAGAGGAUAAAGAUGAUAGCUGACCCCUUCAAGGAAAAUUGUCACCUUCACUCAGAAAGCACAACUGACCAAAGGGUCUUCAGUGGAAGGCGGGGGGAAGGCAUCUAGUGGCUUGCUAGAUAGCAUCUGUGCUCUUGAAUCUGGAAGUGCUGAACUAGUGUUAGGGGGUAGAGAAUUAUCUUCCCUAGGAAGGUGAAGUGUAAAGGUCAGGUAUUAGGAACCCAACACACAAGAAGGCUGUUGAAAGAUAAGAAUUCAGGCUGUAAGACUUGGGAUAAGAGUUAAAUAAAAACAACUUAAGAAUGAUGGGUUUGAGAAUAAGCAGCUUGUCAGAGCAUUGGACAAUAAACUGGACAAAACUGGGAGAGGUUGCAAGUGCUUUGGAGGAUAGGAUUAAAAUUCAAAAUCUGGACCAACUGGAGAAAUGGUCUGAAGUAAAUAGGAUGAAAUUCAAAAAGAACAAAUGUAAAGUACUCUACAUAGGAAGCAACAAUCAGUUGCACAGAUACAAAAUGAGAAAUGACUGCCUAGGAAGGAAAACAGUGGAAAGAGAUCUAGGGGUCAUAGUGGAUCACAAGCUAAAUAUGAGUGAACAGUGUAACACGGUUGCAAAAAAAAAAA